AAUCAACGCUGGCGGCGUGCCUCAGACAUGCAAGUCGAACGAUUAAAGCUCUCUUCGGAGAGUGUAUAGAGUGGCGCACGGGUGAGUAACACGUAAGUAAUCUACCCUCGAGUGGGGAAGUAACGUCCGGAACGGACGCUAAUACCGCAUAAUGCAGCGGCACCGCAAGGUGACAGUUGUUAAAGGAGAAAUUCGCUUGAGGAGGAGCUUGCGGCAGAUUAGCUUGUUGGUAAGGUAACGGCUUACCAAGGCUACGAUCUGUAACCGGUCUUAGAGGACGGUCGGUCACACUGACACUCGAAUAACGGGUCAGACUCCUACGGGAGGCAGCAGUCGGGAA
rnacentral:rRNA from 1 species